UACGAAGGGGCUAGCGUUGCUCGGAAUCACUGGGCGUAAAGCGCACGUAGGCGGAUUGCUAAGUCAGGGGUGAAUCCUGGAGCUCAACUCCAGAACUGCCUUUGAUACUGGCGACCUUGAGUCCGGAGAGGUGAGUGGAACUGCGAGUGUAGAGGUGAAAUUCGUAGAUAUUCGCAAGAACACCAGUGGCGAAGGCGGCUCACUGGCCCGGUACUGACGCUGAGGUGCGAAAGCGU
rnacentral:rRNA from 1 species